UGAGUACGAGAUGCUACGGCAUCGAAGCAGUCUAUGUCAUACUUCCAAGAAAAGCUUGCACUGUCAGAAACAGAUAAUGCCUGUACCAUAACCGACACAGGUGGGUAGGUAGAGUAUACUAAGGGGCGCGAGAUAACUCUCUCUAAGGAACUCGGCAAAAUGACUCCGUAACUUCGGGAGAAGGAGUGCCUUAUUUUUAAGGUUGCAAUAACAAGAUCCAAGCAACUGUUUACCAAAAACACAGGUCUCCGCUAAGUCGUAAGACGAUGUAUGGGGGCUGACGCCUGCCCAGUGCCAGAAGGUUAAAGAAGUCGGUUAGCAUUCGCGAAGCUGGUAACUGAAGCCCUGGUGAACGGCGGCCGUAACGAUAACGGUCCUAAGGUAGCGAAAUUCCUUGUCGGGUAAGUUCCGACCCGCACGAAAGGCGUAAUGAUUUGGAUACUGUCUCGGAGAGGGGCUCGGUGAAAUAGACUUGUCUGUGAAGAUGCGGACUACCUGCACCUGGACAGAAAGACCCUAUGAAGCUUUACUGUAACUUGAAAUUGAAAUUGGACUUUAUUUGCGCAGUAUAGGUGGGAGGCGUUGAAAAUAUUCUUGCGGGAAUAUUGGAGCCAUCAGUGAGAUACCACUCUUGUAAUGUUAGAUUUCUAACUUUAUAUCAUUAUCUGGUUAAAGAACAGUUUCAGGCGGGCAGUUUGACUGGGGCGGUCGCCUCCCAAAUGGUAACGGAGGCGCACAAAGGUUUCCUCUGAACGGGUAGAAAUCGUAUCUAGAGUGUAAAGGCAUAAGGAAGCUUGACUGUGAGACCUACAAGUCGAGCAGGGACGAAAGUCGGUCUUAGUGAUCUGACGGUGCUGAGUGGAAAGGCCGUCACUCAACGGAUAAAAGUUACUCUAGGAUAACAGGCUGAUCUCCCCCAAGAGUUCACAUCGACGGGGAGGUUUGGCACCUCGAUGUCGGCUCAUCGCAUCCUGGGGCGGUAGUACGUCCCAAGGGUUGGGCUGUUCGCCCAUGAAAGCGGUACGCGAGCUGGGUUCAGAACGUCGUGAGACAGUUCGGUCCAUAUCCGGUGUAGGCGUUAGAAUAUUGAGAGGAGCCUUCUUUAGUACGAGAGGACCGAGAAGGACAUACCUCUGGUGUACCAGUUAUCGUGCCAACGGUAAACGCUGGGUAGCUAUGUAUGGAGUGGAUAACCGCUGAAAGCAUCUAAGUGGGAAGCCCACCUCAAGAUAAGUAUUCCC
rnacentral:rRNA from 1 species